rnacentral:rRNA from 1 species
AUUGAACGCUGGCGGCAUGCCUUACACAUGCAAGUCGAACGGCAGCACGGGUGCUUGCACCUGGUGGCGAGUGGCGAACGGGUGAGUAAUACAUCGGAACGUACCUUAUCGUGGGGGAUAACGCAGCGAAAGCUGUGCUAAUACCGCAUACGCCCUGCGGGGGAAAGCGGGGUAUCGAAAGACCUCGCGCGAUUAGAGCGGCCGAUGCCGGAUUAGCUUGUUGGUGGGGUAAAAGCCCACCAAGGCGACGAUCAGUAGCUGGUCUGAGAGGACGAUCAGCCACACUGGGACUGAGACACGGCCCAGACUCCUACGGGAGGCAGCAGUGGGGAAUUUUGGACAAUGGGGGCAACCCUGAUCCAGCAAUGCCGCGUGAGUGAAGAAGGCCUUCGGGUUGUAAAGCUCUUUUGUCAGGGAAGAAACACCGGCUCUAACACAGUCCGGGAAUGACGGUACCUGAAGAAUAAGCACCGGCUAACUACGUGCCAGCCGCCGCCGUAA